UCCUACGGGACGCAGCAGUGAGGAAUAUUGGUCAAUGGGCGAGAGCCUGAACCAGCCAAGUCGCGUGAGGGAAGACGGUCCUAUGGAUUGUAAACCUCUUUUGCCGGGGAGCAAAAAGCGGCACGUGUACCGCAUCGAGAGUACCCGGAGAAAAAGCAUCGGCUAACUCCGUGCCAGCAGCCGCGGUAAUACGGAGGAUGCGAGCGUUAUCCGGAUUUAUUGGGUUUAAAGGGUGCGCAGGCGGCGA
rnacentral:rRNA from 1 species